AUUGAACGCUGGCGGAAUGCUUUACACAUGCAAGUCGAGCGGCAGCACGGGGGCAACCCUGGUGGCGAGCGGCGAACGGGUGAGUAAUACAUCGGAACAUGCCCAGUCGUGGGGGAUAACACUUCGAAAGAAGUGCUAAUACCGCAUACGUCCUGAGGGAGAAAGCGGGGGAUCUUCGGACCUCGCGCGAUUGGAGUGGCCGAUGUCAGAUUAGCUAGUUGGUGGGGUAAAGGCCUACCAAGGCAACGAUCUGUAGCUGGUCUGAGAGGAUGAUCAGACACACUGAGACUGAGACACGGCCCAGACUCCUACGGGAGGCAGCAGUGGGGAAUUUUGGACAAUGGGGGCAACCCUGAUCCAGCCAUUCCGCGUGAGUGAAGAAGGCCUUCGGGUUGUAAAGCUCUUUCGGCAGGAACGAAACGGCGAGCUCUAACAUAGCUUGCUAAUGACGGUACCUGAAGAAGAAGCACCGGCUAACUACGUGCCAGCCGCCGCAGUAAGAC
rnacentral:rRNA from 1 species